UACACUCCUACGGGAGGCAGCAGUGGGGAAUUUUGGACAAUGGGCGAAAGCCUGAUCCAGCCAUGCCGCGUGCAGGAUGAAGGCCUUCGGGUUGUAAACUGCUUUUGUACGGAACGAAACGGCCUUUUCUAAUAAAGAGGGCUAAUGACGGUACCGUAAGAAUAAGCACCGGCUAACUACGUGCCAGCAGCCGCGGUAAUACGUAGGGUGCAAGCGUUAAUCGGAAUUACUGGGCGUAAAGCGUGCGCAGGCGGUUAUGUAAGACAGUUGUGAAAUCCCCGGGCUCAACCUGGGAACUGCAUCUGUGACUGCAUAGCUAGAGUACGGUAGAGGGGGAUGGAAUUCCGCGUGUAGCAGUGAAAUGCGUAGAUAUGCGGAGGAACACCGAUGGCGAAGGCAAUCCCCUGGACCUGUACUGACGCUCAUGCACGAAAGCGUGGGGAGCAAACAGGAUUAGAUACCCGGGUAGUCCCAUG
rnacentral:rRNA from 1 species